rnacentral:rRNA from 1 species
GGAUUAAAGAAAUUGCUCUUUAAUUAGUGGCGAACGGGUGAGUAAUAUAUCGGAACAUAUCCGGAAGUGGGGGAUAACGUAGCGAAAGUUACGCUAAUACCGCAUAUGCCCUGAGGGGGAAAGGGGGGGAUCGCAAGACCUCUCGCUUUCGGAGUGGCCGAUAUCGGAUUAGCUAGUAGGUGAGGUAAAGGCUCACCUAGGCGACGAUCCGUAGCUGGUCUGAGAGGACGACCAGCCACACUGGAACUGAGACACGGUCCAGACUCCUACGGGAGGCAGCAGUGGGGAAUUUUGGACAAUGGGCGAAAGCCUGAUCCAGCCAUACCGCGUGAGUGAAGAAGGCCUUCGGGUUGUAAAGCUCUUUCAGCCGGAAAGAAAUUGCUUCUAUUAAUACUAGGAGUAGAUGACGGUACCGGAAGAAGAAGCACCGGCUAACUACGUGCCAGCAGCCGCGGUAAUACGUAGGGUGCGAGCGUUAAUCGGAAUUACUGGGCGUAAAGCGUGCGCAGGCGGUUUUUUAAGUCAGAUGUGAAAUCCCCGGGCUCAACCUGGGAACUGCAUUUGAAACUGAAAGACUAGAGUAUAGCAGAGGGGGGUAGAAUUCCACGUGUAGCAGUGAAAUGCGUAGAUAUGUGGAGGAAUACCAAUGGCGAAGGCAGCCCCCUGGGUUAAUACUGACGCUCAUGCACGAAAGCGUGGGGAGCAAACAGGAUUAGAUACCCUGGUAGUCCACGCACUAAACGAUGUCAACUAGGUGUUGGGGGAGGAGACUUCCUUAGUACCGUAGCUAACGCGUGAAGUUGACCGCCUGGGGAGUACGGUCGCAAGAUUAAUACUCAAAAGGAAUUGACCGGGGACCCGCACAAGCGGUUGGAUUAUGUGGAUUAAUUUCGAUGCACCGCGAAAAACCUUACCUACCCUUUGCAUAGCCAGAAAGAUCCCCAGAGAAUGUGAUUGUGGCUCCAAAAGAGAAUCUUGUACACCGGUGGCUGGCAGGGCUGUCGUCAAGCUUCGUGUCAGGGAGAUGUUGGGGUUAAGUCCACGCAAAGAAGCGGAACCCCUUGUCAAUUUAUUGGCACACCAUUUAAAUUUGGGCACUUUUAUUGGAAAACUGCCCGCGGAAAAACCCGGACGGAAAGGUUGGGGGAGGACCUCCCAGUCCUC